GUUUCCCUUCCCGGGAAUUCCCGGAGCUCCCUCGGCCUCAUCCCGGGAAAUCAAAACUGGAAAAAUCCCAUCGGGAUCGGCUCCCUGUCCCCAAACCCUCGGGAAUUCCCGAAGGAAAUCCCGAAUUUCAGGAUGGGAUUGAGCGGUGGGGGCUCGGGAAGAGCCGGAAUUCCCAAAAUCCCCCCCAGGACGCGGCUCCAGCUCCUCAAAAACGGGGUUUUUCCAAGGGAAACUGAGGCCGGGAGAAUCCAUGGGAAAAAAAAUAAUAAAAAAAAAUUAAAAAAUAAAAAAGCUGGAAAUGAGAGGAAAAAAACGCCAGGAAAAGCAGAUUUUAUGGAUGUUGGGAAAAUUCUUUAUUUUGGGGUGAGAAGCGCCGGAAUUGGGCAAAACCCAGAGGAUCCGGGAUGGGAAAAUCCAGGGGGAUCCUGGCACUGCCCAGCUGCUCCAGGGGGAGUUUUGGGUUGAAAAAGGAGAUUUUUGGGAAAAUCCUGGUCACACAUGGGAGUCAGGAGGAAAAUCUCCCUCGCCAGCCCCAAUUUCCCCGGUUUUAGCCCCAAAUCCCUCGGGAAACGACACCAGGAGAGACAAAAACUUGAAUUUAUUUUCACCUUCAUCAUCAUAAAUUUGGGGCAAAAAGUUUGGGAAAAGGGUCAGAGCCGGAGCUUCGUGUUUUCCUGGGAAGCAGCAGCGCCAGGAGCCCGUAAUUAAUUGGUUUUGCGCUAAUUAACUCUAAUGAGGGCGAGGGGUGACGCCAGGACGGGGAGGAUCCCGUGCCUGGAUUCCCAAAUUCCCUUUUCUCAGGGGUGAAAUUCCUCCGUGUGCCGAAACAUCGGGGGGUUCACCAAAAUUCCAGGAAUUUUCACCAAAAUUCCAGGAGUUCUCACCAAAAUUCCAGGAGUUUUCACCAAAAUUCCAGAUGUUUUCACCCCAAUUCCAGGAAUUGUUUUUACCCCAAUUCCAGGAAUUGUUUUUACCCAAUUCCAGAUGUUUUCUCCCCAAAUCCAGGAGUUUCCCCCCAAUUCCAGGAAUUGUUUUCACCCCAAAUCCAGGAGUUUCUCCCCAAUUCCAGAUGUUUUCACCCCAAUUCCAGAUGUCUUCUCCCCAAUUCCAGGAAUUGUUUUCACCCCAAUUCCAGAUGUUUUCCCCCCAUAUCCAGAUGUUUUCCCCCAGUUCCAGAUGUUUUCCCCCCAGUUCCAGAUGUUUUCUCCCCAAUUCCAGAUGUUUUCUCCCCAAUUCCAGAUGUUUUCUCCCAAUUCCAGAUGUUUUCUCCCCAGUUCCAGAUGUUUUCUCCCAAUUCCAGAUGUUUUCUCCCCAGUUCCCGCUCCUGCCGGAGCCAGCUCAGAUCCUCACCACCUGGGCGGCCACGCAGGGGCUGCUCCGGGGCUCGGCCCCGGAAUUGGGAUUGUUCCCGGGAUUUUCCCUGGGAUUGUUCCCUGGGCUGUUCCCAGGAUUGUUCCCAGGCUCAUUCCCGGGAUUCUCCCCGGGAUUCUCCCCGGGACUGUCCCGGUGCCGCUCUCUCCGCAGCAGCAGCCGCCCGUAGGUGCCCCCGGCCCGGCCCUUGGUCAGACGGCCGGGAUUGACACAGACACAGCCCAGGACGUCCUGCGGGGAACGGGAACCGGGGAACAGGAACCGGGAACCGGGGAUGGGAAUCAGGGAAUGGGAAUCAGGGAAUGGGGAAUCAGGGGAUGGGGAUGGGGACAGGUGUUGAAAAUCCAUGGAUUCAGCGGAACCAGGAGCCCACAGGAACCCAGAUCCCAAAAUUCGCCAUUUCCAGAGGAUUGGGGUCCCUCCAGCCCAGCCCCGACCCCCAGCUCCAAUCCUGACCCCAAUCCUGGCUCCAAUCCCAAUCCCUGCUCCAAUUCCAAUCCCAAUCCCACACCAAUCCCAUUCCCACCCCGUUCCUAUUCCCAUUCCCAUUCCCCCAUUCCCACCCUGUUCCCAUUCUAUUCCCAUGCCGUUCCCAUCCCCGUUCCCAUCCCAAUCCCGUUCCCAUUCCCAUCCCCAUUCCCCCAUUCCCAUUCUCCUGUUCCCACCCCAUUCCCAUUCCCGUUCCCAAUCCCAUUCCCAUUCCCCCAUUCCCAUUCCCCCAUUCCCAUUCCAUUCCCAUUCCUGUUCCCACCCCAUCCCCAUCCCCAUCCCAAUCCCGUUCCCAUUCCCCCAUUCCAUUCCCACCCCGUUCCCAUUUCCCCAUUCCCAUCCCCAUUCCCGUUCCCAUCCCAUUCCCAGUUCCCAUUCCCAUCCCCCCAUUCCCAUCCCAUUCCCCCCAUUCCCAUCCCAUUCCCCCAUUCCCAUCCUGUUCCCAUCCCAUUCCCAUCCCGUUCCCAUUCCCAUUCCAUUCCCCCAUUCCCAUUCUCAUUCCAUUCCCAUCCCCAGUCCCAUUCCCAUCCCCAUUCCCGUUUCCCGUUCCCGUUUCCCGUUCCCAUUCCCAUUUCCCAUUCCCAUUCCUGUUCCCACCCCAUUCCCAUCCCCAUUCCCAUCCCCAUCCCCAUUCCCGUUUCCCAUCCCCAUUCCCAAUCCCAUUCCCAUCCCCAUUCUCCCAUCCCCAUUCCCAGUUCCCAUUCCCAUUCCCAUUCCCGUUCCCAUUCCCCCGUUCCCGUUCCCGUUCCCCCGUUCCCAUUCCCAUUCCCAUUCCCACCCCAUCCCCGUUCCCGUUCCCACCUUGAGGAAGAAGCGCAGCUCCGAGGGCGUCACCAGCACGUCCGGGGUCACCGGCAGCGCCGGCAGCGCCUCCAGGUGAACGUUCAGCUCCUCCGAGGGCGGGAACAGCG
rnacentral:lncRNA from 1 species